GGUAAACCACUGCCGGCUGUAUUAUAUCCUGCCUGUUCAUUUCCACAAAAAUGCAUUGAAAAAAUUUUGCCGUCAGGGCGUGAGGGCAGCACUGGAGGGGCGCUUUUGACCUUGACAAUUGUCAAACAAACUUCAAAUUUGAAGGUUUAUAAAUAGGUUAAAUCGGGUUAGGUUAAAUGUUUUGAACAAUUUAUUAAACGGUUAAACGUUGAAUCAUAAAUCGUAAACUCUCGAUGGUGUUAAAUGGUUGAAAAUUGCAACAAAAAGGACUAGCAAAGGUGAAAUUUUGCAAAAGGCACUUCUCGAUUUCCCAUCAACUGUUUCCCCAAAGCAAUUCUACAUCACCCCCUGUUCACGUACCUCACCUUCAAAAGUUGUACAACUGUUUUCUUGUGUUCCCAACAUUACUCCACGCGUGUUGGUGACUAUAAAAAGUUAGGUUAAAUUGGAAACAGCUUCCCGUUAAAGAGUAUGAAUUGGGAAAUUUAACAAUUUUUUUUGUAGCAAAAGGAAACAUUUGAAGGUGAGGAACGUGAUUAGGGGGUGCUGUAGAAGAAUUGUGUGCAAAUGGUUUGUCCAAAAUCGAGAAGUGCCUUUUGUAAAAUUUCACUCUAUAAUUAGAGCUAGAAGAAUAUAAAAAACAGACAAGUAUGUUUAUAAUUUUAAUACUUUUCUUGAAUGGGGUUUAUGGGUCAAAUUACUAAACAAUGCAACAUUUUCAGUUCUUGUAUAACCAAAAUUUGCAAAAAUUGGUUUCAACACUUUAGAUAAUAUUAAGUUUGCAACCAUUACUUUGUGGUUUUUAUCUUCACAAGGCAGAAAAGAUGAACUGGCAAUUGGCUCCAAUAACAAAGACUCCACCACAGUUCUUGGAUGAUGAUUUACUGAUAUAUCAAGUCAAGCAACGGGGUAGAUUUUGCGGUGGUUAGUAGUGAAUCUAAACAAUUUUUGCACUCUAACCUUUCUUCGAUUGUUCUACAAAUAUAUCCAGAUAAAAACGCAACUGAUGCAGAAUUGAUAUCUGAGAAAAUAGUAUUACUGAACGUUAAUUUAUGAAGGUCACUAAUUUUUUCAAUGAUAUUGUCAGGUAUAUGUAUAUUUGUUUCUGUUGUAGAUUUUUCAGAAGACUGAAUUUGACCAAUUUUACUUAAGUGAUUACAGUUAGAAUAUACAUUUGCUGAUUCAGAAGUUGUUACUAAACCUGAUUUAAUUAUUCUUUUAAUAGCAUAGUGUGCAGCCCUGGCAUCAGUAGCGUCCUGAGAACCACCGCAUAAUCGGACAUUGCUAAACAUUGAUUCAACUGCAUCUGAGCUAAAUGCUCGCGUUAAAACAUAAAAAAAGCCACUCUCUUCGAGUAAAUACUUGAUACAUUCUGCAGUGCUUUUGGCAGUGAAUUUUACUGCUUCUGCAGUCUCUUUAGUCAAUCCCGUCAUCUUAUUUGCCUUUGAAGAUAGUUGAAUGGAAUCCAUAUAAGCAGGUAAAGUUUUUAACAUCCAGAGAAGGCGUUCAUCAUUAAUAUCUGUAUAUGGAGCACUAUUUUCAUUUGCUUGCCGGAUGUGCUGAGUUUUGUCAUUGACAUCAUGAAUUUUAAAAAAUGUGUGCAUCAUUUCCAUAAACUUUAGAGUCUCUUCAACAUCAACAAAACCUGGAUUGUUAUAUUUUCCCAAAUACUCUAUUGCUGCUCUUACUUCUAUGGAAAAUACUUGCACAGCACGACGGACGUUCAUCUUUUCUAAAUUGGUUGGGCAAAUAUGCUUCCUGGUCAAAAACUUUACCGGUUUAACAAUUAAUUUGUGUUGCAUAUCAUAUAUUUUCUUUAAAAAUCGUGCAGAAAUAAUACCGUUACCAGAAUGCAUGUCAUGGUCCAAAAAUAUGUUCCUCAAAUUUUUAAUAAUAUGACAGUAAUCAAAGCUCAUAAAUAAUGGUAUUGUUGGUUCUAUUGGAUGUUGAAUAUGAGUCAUUAAAUUAUUACUUGAUGACAGAGAUUUGAAAAGGGCCACAUUUGACUUAUGGUUAUCUGUCACAAUUCUUAAAACUGUAAAUCCACAAUUAUGUAAAAGUUUCAUUACUUUUAACGUCAAAUUCACAAAAUCUAUGUUUUUUAGAGUUCGAUGGAAGAAAUAUCCGGCGGGUAUCGUGUACUUAGUAGUCAUGCCGUGAACAACGUAACAUAACAUUUUGUUGGCCAACGUUGGUUUUUUUCCAAUUGUUUGACUACUCUCAUUGGUAGUUUCUAACCCAUAGAAUUUGUCUUCUGUGCGGCUGUAACACAGUUUCUCCUUGAUGGACAUGUCGUCAACAAUUAAACUACAAAUCCUUUCAACGGGUUGUAGCACUUCGGCUUCUGCUUUCAAGCGUGCCUCUAUAAGUCCUGUAACAUCUUGUCCAUUUCCUAUAUACCGUUCUAAAGUACUUCGACUAGGUAAUUUCAAUAUAGAAGCUUUACCAUAGUUGUAUCCCUUUGGGGAUGAAAUCCUCCAAGCAAUACAUGAUCUUACAGUUACUUCUGACCAUCUAGAUUUUUGUUUGUUGUAAUUUAAUAUUUGGUCUAAUAGAAAUGUGGCUUUUGGGUCGUUAUUCUUGGCAUCAGCUUCAAUUUUUUCGAAUAUACGGGCUUGAUUCGUUUGAUUGUCAAUUUUUAAUUGCAGUUUUUGUAGCUGUUGAUUUUUCAGUUUGUUCUGUUUGUCCAAACGGUUUACUUUCAUUUUCAGUUUUUUGAUUUCAAGUUUAAGUUUUGAUAUAUCAUCAAGACGAAGAUCAGUAUUGGAACUUAAUGUUUGGGAUUCAUUAUAUAAGGACUCAGGUUCAGAAGGAAUUGUUGAGUGACUUAAUCAGGAUUCUACAAUUUAAAAAAAUAUAAUUAAAAUUUAUUAACUGCCAAUAAAAUAUUACUGGAGGUUCUUCUGUCGAUGUUGGACACGUGGAUGUUGAUUGGGAGGGAGGAGAUAAUCUUGGAGUAACAGUACUCUAAAAUAAAUAAUUAUUAGAGGAAAGUUCUAAAAAAAGUGUGAAAAUAGGUAGGAACAGAAAAAUAAUUUUACUCCUGACUUUAAAUUACGUUAUUAAUGUACUGUUCGCUUAUAUUUUCACAGUUGUAAGGAUUGUAAUUACAGGAAUAAUGGAUGAUGAGGGCUUGAUAUUUAAAGGAGUAGAAGACUGGGCAAGGGCAACGAAGGAUUCGUGUGUGGAUGCGUAAUAAGCAUCAUCACCCUAUAAAAACUAUAAUUUUAUUUCUGUUAAGUUUAAAAUGUAAAUAAAUAUACAUGAAAAACUGUUGGAACUGCAUUUUUUUGCAAGCGUUUACUACCAUUUGCUGCAAACUUAAAAUCUGUGGGUUUAAAGUGCAAAUUGCAAAUGGUUGAGUACUGACUGACGAUCUGCUGCGUUGGAG